rnacentral:rRNA from 1 species
UACGGAGGGGGCUAGCGUUGUUCGGAAUUACUGGGCGUAAAGCGCACGUAGGCGGCUUUGUAAGUUAGAGGUGAAAGCCCGGGGCUCAACUCCGGAAUUGCCUUUAAGACUGCAUCGCUAGAAUUGUGGAGAGGUAAGUGGAAUUCCGAGUGUAGAGGUGAAAUUCGUAGAUAUCGGAAGGAACACCUGUGGCGAAAGCGGCUCACUGGACCAUUACUGACGCUGAUGCACGAAAGCUAGGGGAGCAAACAGG